UACGUAGGGGGCUAGCGUUGUCCGGAAUCAUUGGGCGUAAAGAGCGUGUAGGCGGCCCGGUAAGUCCGCUGUGAAAGUCGGGGGCUCAACCCUCGGAUGCCGGUGGAUACUGUCGGGCUAGAGUACGGAAGAGGCGAGUGGAAUUCCUGGUGUAGCGGUGAAAUGCGCAGAUAUCAGGAGGAACACCAAUAGCGAAGGCAGCUCGCUGGGACGGUACUGACGCUAAGGCGCGAAAGCGUGGGGAGCGAACAGG
rnacentral:rRNA from 1 species